AGCUUCCCUAAGUUGCUCAAAAGCAUUUUGAGCCACUUCAUCCUUUUAAAGAGCAUCUUUUUUAAGCAAGCAGUCAAUGGUUUGCCGAUGAUACCAUAGUGCAACAUAGGCUUUCUAUAGUAACCAGUUAACCUUAAAAAGCUUCUUAAUUCCUUUAUUGAUUUUGGGGCUAGACAGGAAACCAUUGCUUGGACUUUAGCAGUGUUAGUAGCAACACCCUUUGUUGAAAUUAUGUGUCCUAAAUAGUCAAUCUCAGG
rnacentral:misc_RNA from 1 species